AUUGAACGCUGGCGGCAGGCCUAACACAUGCAAGUCGAACGGUAACAGGAAACAGCUUGCUGUUUCGCUGACGAGUGGCGGACGGGUGAGUAAUGUCUGGGGAACUGCCUGAUGGAGGGGGGUAACUACUGGAAACGGUAGCUAAUACCGCAUAACGUCGCAAGACCAAAGAGGGGGACCUUCGGGCCUCUUGCCAUCGGAUGUGCCCAGAUGGGAUUAACUAGUAGGUGGGGUAACGGCUCACCUAGGCGACGAUCCCUAGCUGGUCUGAGAGGAUGACCAGCCACAAUGGAACUGAGACACGGUCCAGACUCCUACGGGAGGCGGCAGUGGGGAAUAUUGCACAAUGGGCGCAAGCCUGAUGCAGCCAUGCCGCGUGUAUGAAGAAGGCCUUCGGGUUGUAAAGUACUUUCAGCGGGGAGGAAGGGAGUAAAGUUAAUACCUUUGCUCAUUGACGUUACCCGCAGAAGAAGCACCGGCUAACUCCGUGCCAGCCGCCGCGGUAA
rnacentral:rRNA from 1 species